UAUUUGAAUAGCUGCUCACUGGGUAUUCUGCAAAACAGGCAGGAGAGGACAAAGUCUCCCAGACCAAAGUAAAUGCAAUCUGGAUUGACAAUUUGGUUCACAUGUGAGAAAGGAAACCUAUCUAAAGGGCAUUGUUCAGUGCUCCAUGGCCUGAGGCAUUUUUGUCUCGGUCUGUGUCAAGAGCCAAGAUAAUGGAAUCAGACUAUCUGAUGGAAGAUGUGUGAAAACCACAGGAACGCUGUUAGUUGGAUGGUAAAAGAACCAUCUGUUGUUUCAUAUUUACAAAGCACCUCCCUGUAAAAGAUCUUGCGUCACUAAUGGCAAAGUGCAAAGAGAUGUUCGGAUAGCACAUGGAGAGGGCCGGGGCUAGUCCAAAGCAUUUUGUAACAAGUAAUGCUGUGUGCAAUCCAAGGAGAUGCAUUCCAGGUACUUUGCAGGAUAUCACCUCGAAGUGUGAGAUGAGUGGCACCUGAAUUUGAUAAAUAAAUAAAUAAAUAAAUGUGAUCACAGGAUAAACUCCCCAGAAAUGAGUAGCACUAUCCUGGGAACACAGUGUUUGUCUAACACUCUAAAAAAAUUCUAUUCCAAAUCACUAAAUCUGUGUCUCUGUGAAAAUUGAUUUACUAUGUGUUUGAAAAGUACAAAUGACCCUGAAGUUACAGCUUCUGAGAAGUGUCCUUCAACAAUUAUUAUGAGUCCUGGACAACUCUUUCAUCUUCAGACAUUGAUUUAGACUUCAGAAGAGAAGAUUUC